GAAGGGGUUAGUACUGUGAGGAGCUGCCCAUGAGAAAUCACCAAGAAGGCAUGGAGCUUUUGCAAUAAGAUGACAAUAAUCAGCUUUUACAAGAAGGUGACAGUACUACACCUUAGUUCAAAAACAAGGUCUUCAGAAUCUGACUCUUAAGAUUCCUCUUGGGCUGCCUGCAUCUGCUGCAUUACGCCAGAAGGAUCUGUCCCCCACUCCUCUGCACCCUUUUGGUCUUCCAAUAAGGCCUCUAGAGAAGCUGAUAUGAAGUUAGGUAUGGACAGACAUCCUCAGAUAGCCUGUGUCUCUGAGACCCAGAAUCUCUCAGACUGCAUGGCCCCCUGGAAGGUUUUUGUGGCUUUGUUCCUAUAAACCAAAUUUUCACUGAAGAGCUGUGAGAGAAGAAGCUAAAAAACCUUCUAUGCCCUGGAAAUUUUGAGGCAGCUGCAAGCUCAUUGGUUUGGCUCUCUCCUUAUGGACAGGUCUGGCCAAUCCAGCCAGUGUAGCCUGGAGCAUAAUUCAAUUCAUUCUGAGAGGAGCACAAGGCAUGGAAGAAUGUGUUCACCCCUCAGAUUAUUUAUACAAGCAGAGGGCAGACACAUUUUUAUUGCACGUUUGAAGAAUUAAGUUCAUAUUGACGGAGAUAAAUGUGCUCCCUUCAAUGUAAAUGGAAAAGAAACCCUCAAGACGAAUCCAGGAAUCCUAGGACAGUUCCAGCUUGGAUGAAGGCUCCUCCAGCUGAAUUUAUUCAGAUAAGAACAACUACCUUGUACUGAGGCAAAAAGGACUUCAAUGUGAAUGUCUCCAUUGCAGGGAAGGGUGAUGAGGGCUGAGUGACCCUCACCAGGCUGUGAUAGUGCAGCUCAGUAUCUCUGCCCAAUAUCUCUGUCCUCUGUGCAGGGACUGCAAUCUUCUGAGACAGUGGCCAGUGUGAGCUGCUCACUGCUUGACAGACACUGCUCUGGAUGCAUGCAGAAACAGAGCCAGAGAGGGCUUGAGAAACUUCCCAUCAAACAAAAGUUUGGAAACCUUCUGGUUUUGGUGGAUAUGGAGUGAACAUCUCAGAUUCAUGCA